rnacentral:rRNA from 1 species
UACAGAGGUCCCGAGCGUUGUUCGGAUUCACUGGGCGUAAAGGGUGCGUAGGUGGCAUGGUAAGUUUGAUGUGAGAGCUCAGGGCUUAACCCUGAAAUGGCAUUGAAUACUACUGUGCUGGAGGUUUGGAGGGGGGACUGGAAUUCUUGGUGUAGCAAUGAAAUGCGUAGAUAUCAAGAGGAACACCAGUGGCGAAGGCGAGUCCCUGGACAACACCUGACACUGAGGCACGAAAGCUAGGGGAGCAAACAGG